GCUCACUUUGGCAGCACAAAAAUUGGAAUAAUACAGAGAAGAUUGGCAUGGCCACUGUGCAUGAAUGACACUCAAAUUCACGAAGUGGUACAUAUUUUU
rnacentral:snRNA from 1 species